UAGAGUGUGGAGAGAAAACAUCAAUGGCAGUGGCAUAACAUCAGUUUUCUGACUCACUAAGUUCCUCAGCCACCUUCAUUCAUAUACUGAGAAGUGCUUCAAACAGCAACUAUUAUCUUGAGUUGAAUACUUCUUUCCAAUCUCUCUGAAAGUCCCUUUUUUCAUAAAGUUGAUUUUCCACAUUAUACGAUGCAGAAGACUGCUUGCUCUUGCCAGACUUAAUCCUCUGCACUCAUGGGUUCUGGAAACAGACUGUGGAAAAGCACACCCUUCUCCAUGGUGGAGAGAAGAAAACAUCUCUCUUCAGGGGAAAAAAAUGCUCACUCUUCAUUUUUGAAGAAAUGGAAAUAUAGGUCAUUCUUGGAUUUCAUCUUUUCUUCUCAUCAGCCAAAUGGGCACUGAAGUUGUUAACUUCCUUCAUGUUUCUAAAAAUGCUUUUUUUAUGUACCUCUAAAUGUUACUGUAUAAUAGCUUCUGCCUGUUGAUAAAGCUAGCUGUAAAUCUCCUCUCCAUAAACAAAAGGAGAAAGCAACACUUUUAGCUGAAGCAAUGCAUGAGGGAAACAGCUUUGCCUCAGGAUGUUUCAUGGUAUAGGUUUUUAUUUCUUAACACCACCACAAUUCACCUAUUGCUGCAAUCACUAAGGUCACUUUCCCCUUUUCCUUUCCCUUGAAUUGAAUCAAGUCCCUCAGAAGUCUUUAUGGUUUGUCUGAGAGGAAGCCACUGGUAUCACUUCAUUAUUAUUGCUGUUGUUGCUGCUGCUGCUUCAUUUUUACUGUUAUUGUUGCUUUAGUUAACAUGCCAUUUAUUUUCAGUUGAUUCUAUCUACAAUAUAGAUAAUACAGAACAACACACCUGAGGAAAUGCAGUGCAUGCAUGCAUGUGUGUGUGUAUGAACCAUACUGUUGAACAUGCGAUUAGGAUAUCAGUUUUGAGAUACAUGGUUGAAGGAAACAAGCACAGCCAUAUAAAUCAACACUUCAAUCUGUCUGUCAAGAAAGACAAUUGUGGUUUACCUCAAAUCCCAAAUAUUUUCCUUGCUCAUAAAGGUGGAAUACAAAUUAAUAAUUGAUCAUUAUACUACCCAUUAUUCAUUGUAACCAUGUGAGAUGAGUGAAGUUGCUCUUUUUAAUUCUGUUUUCUUUUAAAUAUGCCACUAUUUCUUCAAGCCUUUUCAACAGAAAGUUACCUAGUGCUCUUGUUUCCUCUGAAAUGAUUGUGUAUUCUCUCAUUUUUUGUAGGCAGACUAAGGCCCUGCAACAGGUGCAGCUUGAUUCCCAAGUGCACUGACCUUCUAUAGGAGCAUGGCAGGAAUUUCAAAUAGGAUUAACCACCCCAGACAAGGAAAAGGUCACAGGACAUUUCCACUGGAAAUUCUCAUGCAAAUAGGCCUUUUGAUAUGCAUGGCAUUUUUUCCACGUGGAUCUAAUAGCCGUGCAUACAGAAAAAGGAAAAUAUUGAAACAUGAUGGCUAAUAUAUGUUAAUCUUGUGAAGGUGUUGACUUCGCUGAAAAUCCAAGGCUGCCAAAGGGUAGGAUUGCCUGACUUUGUAUAAAAGGGGGCUCUUAGAAUAUCAAAGCCUUGCAAGAAAACAGAUCCUCUCUUACUGCUUCUCCUUUUUAGUUCUAGCACAUAUCCAUUGGUAGGUGAGGCACUCAAUAUAUGAUGAGAGGUAUCACUGUCAUUAUUACAACACUAAAGACUUGAUCAGAGUUUUUAUUAGUGCAGACAACAGCUUCCAGUAGUACUGGGCUGAAACAGGAAGAUCCAGCCUUCAGUAUUAUAAUAAUGGCAAUUUUGGACAAUGAGAAUCUCAAUUUUGAGUCAGUAAAAAAUUAUAGAUACCUAUCAUAACUGAAUAGUAACUUUCCAUAAUGCUAAUGCAACUAUUUAGUAAGCUAGAGGCUUCAGCUCAUCAUUGGCAUUUACUAUGAUACAUUUAUUAUCAUUUUUUUACUAUGAUAAAUAGCUUUCUUUUUCAUGUGAUUGACUGACCAGGAUAGAAGGUGCUAAUGCCUCUGAUUUUCUCCAUAAAGCAAAGCAGGAAUGGAGGCAUGAAUAGUGCGGAGAUGGAAAAAAUAGAAUGAGAUAUAACAGAAUGAUUUUAUCUAUAUAUUGUACUAAGCCAUAGUAUAUUUAAUCAUCAUUAGUGACUUAGUGACACUUUACUGGGUUCACACACACCACUAUGCCAAAAUCAAAUAAACAAUCUUACCAUCAUCUGUGAUGCCUUACUAUCAUCUGCGAAUUCUGUCAUGGGAUUGAUUAUGCAUAUAUGUUUAAAAAUAAUCUAAGAAAUCCAGAUGAAGCAUUUCCUGUUUGAAAAAGACCGAGGCUUAAAUCUUGAGUUAUCACACCUUCUAGCCAAGCUAAAUAGAGAAGAUAGAAUAGAAGAAGAAGAACUGUUGGCAUUCUAUACAUGCUUAGAGCCACUGUAUUACUUCCCAAAUUUCAUAGCUGAAAUGGGGGGGGUUCCCAAAGAAGGGGACAUAUUCUUAGUAAAAAAAAAAACCUAUCCAUUUCAAAUAAUGCCGCUGCUAAAAGAUGAGCGUGUGCCACCCUGCUAUCUGCAGCCUUUGGAGGCUAAAAAAAAAUGCUUUAAAAAUGUGCCUGCCCACUGGGUAAUUUUAGUUGCUCUUGCACUAAAUAAAAACAACUAUGAAGAAGCUACUAUUUUUAUUUUUAAGAUAAUACAGUUUUUAAGAUUAUGCUAUGGAUAUUGUUAGUACUAAAGAAUUUAAAUGUUUCAUUUUAAGCAGAAUAAGUAUUCUUCAAAGGACUGUAUAUAAUGUAAAUCGGCAGAGGCAAAUUCCACGUGCAGAUUCUGUGAAAGAUUGAUCCCAGGAAGAUUGAAUACUGCUGGCAUAAAUGCAACAGUCGCUUACUCUAGCUAUAUCAAUGAAAUGAGAAAGGAGGAAAAAUACUUUCCUACUUUAAUUUGAGGACCUUGUCUAUCAAGAUGAAAGGCAAACAUUUGUGAUAUGAAUUAAACAUCAGUACAUGAAAUUUUAACAAGAAAACUCUAGGAAAACACAAUGUUGGAAAGAAAUGUGUACCAUUUAAGUGCACAAACAUUUAAAAGAUAACAAUUAUUAAAUUCAAAUUGUACUUUAUAUAGUAAGAUCAAAAGCUUUUUCCAUCUUGAUGGUCUUAAGAAAUGUAA